UACGUAGGGUGCAAGCGUUGUCCGGAAUUAUUGGGCGUAAAGAGCUUGUAGGCGGUUUGGUAAGUCCGCUGUGAAAGUCGGGGGCUCAACCCUCGAAUGCCGGUGGAUACUGUCGAACUAGAGUGCGGAAGAGGCGAGUGGAAUUCCUGGUGUAGCGGUGAAAUGCGCAGAUAUCAGGAGGAACACCAAUUGCGAAGGCAGCUCGCUGGGACGUAACUGACGCUGAGACGCGAAAGCGUGGGGAGCAAACAGG
rnacentral:rRNA from 1 species